AAUGUCUUUCAAUCAGAGCAUAUGGAGCAAGAAGAGGAAACUACUUUGAAUGCCGUCAGCCUAUUAUUGGAAGUGAAUUGCGGAUCACGUGGACAGGCGAAGUUUCAGAGUAUAUACAGAUCUGUGAAGUGGAGGUUUUCCAAACGAAGAUAAUAAACCUGGCAGGAAAGCGUCCCACAAAGUCCUCGACAAAUGAAAAGGAAUCACACAUAGGCUGCGAUCAAAAACUUGACAAACCCUUCUCCACUGGAGGGAAACCCAGCUCAAAGGAAAUAAAAUGGUGGUCGGUUGAUUUGAUAGCAUUAUGCAAAAUCCAUCUGGUGCGUAUUGUGACAGUCUCAGGCUGCAAACCGCAACACCUCAA